CGGUCCCGCCCGCCGGACGUUGGGACCAACGGGACGGCGGGCGGCCCAAGGGCCGCCCGCCUUGCCGCCCCCCCAUUGGCCGGCGGGCGGCCCCG
rnacentral:miRNA from 1 species